rnacentral:lncRNA from 1 species
CAGCUGGAAUGCGACCUACAACACGGCACGUAAGAACGGCCUAGAUGCGUGUGUGCCUGCAACGCACGGUCAAGAUGCAAACUUUCCACAGGCAUCGAUGGGGACAGGAGAAAACAAACUCAAUCUGGCCCAGGAUCUGCAUAGAGACAGCGAGGACUCAACAGAGACAGGUUACACCUCCCCAGGCCUAGGGUGGGCUGGACUUUUCCUGCCUACGAGGAAUUGCCUGGUCAGGAAGAGAUUAAUGUCAUUGUCUUCUACCUGCAAUGCUUUGAGUGGCUCUCGAUGACUGGCUGGCUUGGCUGUAUAACUCCAAGGCAAGGAUGAAAGUCUGGGGGAUCCAGGGAGGGAAGGAGCUACCUUACUGCCCACAUGGACGCUAGAGGCCCCUGGCUGUCUUGCAGAAGGAAAUUCUGCCAUCCCGCUGGCCUGACCCUAUCCCAGAGGCUCCGCCAACCGAUUCCAUCCACGUCCGGGGGUCAGGCAGCCCUGGAAGGCGACUCACUUAGCGACGGAGAUUCAUGCUGCGCAUCUCACGCCACCACAACUGGGCUUCUCCGGGGGCGAAGUGGCUUGAUCAGAAGAUGUGAUGUUGGAUGAGCACAAAAGCCACAAGAACGGCCCGGUAUUUGUGAGAGGUUCCAUUUGAAGAUUUGUUUCCUUUCCGAAAUAAAAACAGUGA